rnacentral:rRNA from 1 species
GGGAAGAGCCCAAACCAAAAAGCUUGCUUGUUGGGGUUGUAGGACACUCUAUACGGAGUUACAAAGGACGACAUUAGACGAAUCAUCUGGAAAGAUGAAUCAAAGAAGGUAAUAAUCCUGUAGUCGAAAAUGUUGUCUCUCUUGAGUGGAUCCUGAGUACGACGGAGCACGUGAAAUUCCGUCGGAAUCUGGGAGGACCAUCUCCUAAGGCUAAAUACUCUCUAGUGACCGAUAGUGAACCAGUACCGUGAGGGAAAGGUGAAAAGCACCCCGGAAGGGGAGUGAAAUAGAACCUGAAACCGUGUGCUUACAAGUAGUCAGAGCCCGUUAAUGGGUGAUGGCGUGCCUUUUGUAGAAUGAACCGGCGAGUUACGAUUUGAUGCAAGGUUAAGCAGUAAAUGUGGAGCCGUAGCGAAAGCGAGUCUGAAUAGGGCGUUUAGUAUUUGGUCGUAGACCCGAAACCAGGUGAUCUACCCUUGGUCAGGUUGAAGUUCAGGUAACACUGAAUGGAGGACCGAACCGACUUACGUUGAAAAGUGAGCGGAUGAACUGAGGGUAGCGGAGAAAUUCCAAUCGAACCUGGAGAUAGCUGGUUCUCUCCGAAAUAGCUUUAGGGCUAGCCUCAAGUGAUGAUUAUUGGAGGUAGAGCACUGUUUGGACGAGGGGCCCCUCUCGGGUUACCGAAUUCAGACAAACUCCGAAUGCCAAUUAAUUUAACUUGGGAGUCAGAACAUGGGUGAUAAGGUCCGUGUUCGAAAGGGAAACAGCCCAGACCACCAGCUAAGGUCCCAAAAUAUAUGUUAAGUGGAAAAGGAUGUGGCGUUGCCCAGACAACUAGGAUGUUGGCUUAGAAGCAGCCAUCAUUUAAAGAGUGCGUAAUAGCUCACUAGUCGAGUGACACUGCGCCGAAAAUGUACCGGGGCUAAACAUAUUACCGAAGCUGUGGAUUGUCCUUUGGACAAUGGUAGGAGAGCGUUCUAAGGGCGUUGAAGCAUGAUCGUAAGGACAUGUGGAGCGCUUAGAAGUGAGAAUGCCGGUGUGA